rnacentral:rRNA from 1 species
GUCUACGGCCAUGCCACCCCGAACAAGCCUGAUGUCUGAUCUCGGAAGCUAAGCAGGGUCGGGCCUGGUUAGUACUUGGAUGGGAGACCACCUAGGAAGACCAGGUGCUGUAGGCA